rnacentral:sRNA from 1 species
GUCGUGAGAUGUUGGGUUAAGUCCCGCAACGAGCGCAACCCUCGUCCCUAGUUACCAGCGGGUUAUGCCGGGCACUCUAGGGAGACUGCCGGUGUCAAACCGGAGGAAGGUGGGGAUGACGUCAAGUCAUCAUGGCCCUUACGUCCAGGGCGACACACGUGCUACAAUGGCCGGUACAGAGCGUCGCCAACCCGCGAGGGUGCGCUAAUCGCCAAAAGCCGGUCUAAGUUCGGAUUGCAGUCUGCAACUCGACUGCAUGAAGCCGGAAUCGCUAGUAAUCGUGGAUCAGCCAUGCCACGGUGAAUACGUUCCCGGGCCUUGUACACACCGCCCGUCACGCCAUGGAAGCUGGGGGGACCUGAAGCCGGUGGGCUAACUCGCAAGAGAGGCAGCCGUCAAAGGUCAAUUCAGUGACUGGGGCGAAGUCGUAACAAGGUAGCCGUAGGGGAACCUGCGGCUGGAUCACCUCCUUUCUGGAGCGAUGAGUAGAGCGCCCUCGGGCACCUCGAAAAUCCUCAAGAAUUGUCGCUCGACUCGUACAAUCCCUCUCUUCGAUCUCGAUUGCUCAACGGCACGGCGCAUAGGCCCAUCAGGGGAAACUCUGAUGGGCCUCUGUCGCCACACGCUGUUUGACAACGGAAGUUGGUGUAGAUCGUGGGAAGCGAAUCAUCACAAUGACGACAAUUUCGUUUUUUGUUGUUAGUUCUGAUAGAAACGCGCGUGCUCUGCUUGCUACGAACUAUGUAGUCAAGCGAGCGAAGGCAUGUGGAGGAUGCCUGGGCACACGGAGGCGAGGAAGGCCGCGGUAAGCUGCGAUAAGCCAGGGGGAGCGGCACACACGCACUGAUCCCUGGAUGG